UGCAGUGAACAUCCUGGGAGCUCCAGGCUGAUAAAGGAGGAAUCCGAAGUGUUCCUUGCCCCCCAGGAGCUCACUGUCAGGGCAACGAGACACACCGGCAGGCGGGCUCGCCACCACAGCCUGUGAUGAGCAACCUUGAUUGUUGUAGUCGUGCACCAAGUGCGUCUCGCAAGCUGCUUGUGUGCCAAGAACUGGGGGUGCUCGCCAGCAAGGAGUCCACGUGGAGCAGUGAAAAUGGCUGCAUAGACCUGGGAAAGGCUGCAUUUUGCAGCAGUGGGCCCAGUUCGGACGUGGCAUUCUUGCAGACCUGCUUCUGUGGAGCAGCACAGCCCAAGGGGCCAAGAGGAAACCAGCCAGUUUCUCUUUGACCAGAAUCGGGUCUCUGCCUCCUUUGCCUCAGGGACCCACUUCCUACUUCGGUCCGAGGCCAGAUGACACCCACUCAUUUCGAGAAACGAGCCUCUUACCUAUUUCCCUGUGAAGACGACUGGCAGCUGGACCUGGCAGCUGCGGUCUGUGCCAUCCUGUGCAAAGGGGCGGAAAGGCUGUCCCACCAUGACAUCGAGGCAUCAUCUGGGGGACCCCCCACCUGCUGACCACCCCUCCCCAUCGCCUGGGCCAUGCGGGCACCUCCAGCCUGUCAUUCACACCACUGUCUCUCAUCAGCACUCUCUUUCCUGAAAUAGCAACUCUUGACAACGCCCUGCCUGGAGGCCUGGCCCAGCGCUGGGGUCCCGCCGGGGCCUGAGUCCCAUCGGCCCAGCACAGUUCCCACUCCCUCCCAGUGAAAGGCUGGAGUAGGCUGGCCCCCUGCUGUAGGGGCAGGCUGGCAGUCUGGCCCUCGCAGGACUUCAAGGGGCCUCUCUGCGGGGGAUCCCAGGGGGCUACACCCCUGGUGGCCUCAGACCCUUGUGAUCGGACAUUGACGUCCCAAACUCACAAGAUGUCCAAGUUGCAAGGACUCCCAACCUUUGCUCAGCCCAUGUGGCAGCUGAGGUCUGGGGUGGGUGUGUGAGCCGGCAGGGACCACCGGAGCUGCUGUAGACAUGGGACAUCUCUGGGUGGGUAUGUUGAGGGGCUGGUCCAUCCCCUGACAGCAGAGGUAGCCGCUGAAGGGGCUGGUACCUCCCUCCAGGAGGCUGGUGGGAGGCGAUGGACACCGUCUUGGUGGGUCUGGAGGUCUCAGACCAAAAUAUCUGCCAUUUUCCUGGAGGAGCCGUAGGGCAUGGGGCCCCUGCCCAGAGGGGGGCUAUGGCCUUGGCUACUCUGGGGCCUUGUCUGCCAGCUCUGUCCUCUCCAGCCCCAGGCCCUUGGGCACCCAGGAUGGCCACUGGGGGGCAGUGCGAGCCAGCACACCUGGCAGGGAUCCACCCAGAGGCCCGGCCCAGCCAGCUCUGCCCAGGAGGGAAGCAGCCUAAGCCAGUGAGGGGCCCUGCCGUGGUCAGCUCUGCAGCCAGGUCCCUGGCUGCCCUGCCCCAGUGGGCUUUGGAGCCAGGGCCCCGCACGGGUGCUGGGGAUUUUCCUACUGUUAUGACCAUAGGCCCUCCUCAUAGAGGCACACACACACGGCCACACGCGCUUUGCACACACGCAGCUGAGGUGGGCUGCAGAGGCACCAAAGACCUUCUUGGGAAUGCAGGGACUGGCUUUUCCUUCUCCGUCUCCCCCUGCAGGCAGCCCCGCUGGGGUCCCGCGCAGGCCCUACUGCUUGAGGGGCCACCCGCUUGCGUCGGCCUUUCCUCAGGCCCCCC